CGAACGAGACUCUAUCCUACUAAGCGGCGCGAGGCUAUUAGACGGCUGGAUCUUAUUUACACGCGUGUAAAAACAGAUAGAGGAGGUCAAUGCCGCUUCGGUGGCUGCUUCUUUUCGGGCACGCAAGUCCGCCGUGGCUACGCGUACGUUUUCGCGUGCCUUCGCGCAGGGGAGCGGAGUUGUGCGCUCGAUGCGUGUGUGCUAGCGUGCAAACGUGGGUGCCGCGCUCGGGUGUCUUCUCUGUCUUUUCUUCGCGCGACUGUGCGUCGCGUCUUCUUGCGCGUAGACAAACGUUGUUUCUUCUUAGAGGUAUUGACGACUCUACAUAAGUCGUACGAGAGAGAGAGCAAUAACAGGUCUGUGAUGCCCUUAGAUGCCCUGGGCCGCACGCGAGCUACAAUGCCGGGUACAGCGGGUCUAACUUCCUUCGCCGAGAGGCGCGGGUAACCCUCUGAAAUCCCUUCUUUCCGACGGGGGAGACAUCGCGCAAGCGUCUGUCUCUCUUCGUUAGUCGGCUCGAUUGGGCCUGGGGCUUGCAAUUAUCUCCCACAAACGAGGAAUGCCUUGUAUUGGCUAGUCACUGAGCUUGCAGCGACUCAGUCCCUGCCCUUUGUACACACCGCCCGUCGCUACUACCGAUUGAGUGUACCAGUGAGAUUCUUGGACUGGCGAACCAUCUUUUCUUUCGAGAUACAGACGGCGAACGACGGAAAGAGACCCGAACUGGUGCACUUAGAGGAAGUAAAA
rnacentral:rRNA from 1 species